GUUAAGUCCAACCAUUAACAUGACCAUACUUGGCCCAUCUAGCUGAUAAAUGAUUAGGUCCAACUUUGGUUGGCUAACCUAACCACCAUUUAGAAAGAUACAGUCAAGAAUCAUAUUAUGAAUGAUAAUUCCAUCAGUCGAUAAGCACCAGAUCUUUGGGCCUCCAAUGAUUAUCCAACUGAUGGAUCCAUUAUCAUCCACUUAAUGGAAGGCUAUGAUCUAGUUAUCACCAUAACU
rnacentral:lncRNA from 1 species